GGGGGGGGGGGGGGGGGGGGGUGGGGGGGGGGGGUGGGGGGGGGGGGGGCUGCGUGGGUGGGGUGCGGGAGGGGCGGGCGGGUGGGGAACGGGUGCGUGAGGUGCCGUUGACUUUGGGAUGAGUUCAGGAAACUGGGGCUAAUAGGGGAUCGGAGCGCCUGCUGGAUGGUGGGGGGUGGAAAGUUUCGGCGGUUGGGGAUGGACUCGCGGCUUAUCAUGUUGUUGGUGGGGUAGGGGCUUACCAAGGCAUUGACGGGUAGCCGGCCUGAGAGGGUGACCGGCCAAAUUGGGACUGAGAUACGGCCCAGACUCCUACGGGAGGCAGCAGCGGGGAAUAUUGAACAAUGGGCGGAAGCCUGAUGCAGCAACGCCGCGUGCGGGAUGACGGCCUUCGGGUUGUAAACCGCUUUCGCCUGUGACGAAGCGUGAGUGACGGUAAUGGGUAAAGAAGCACCGGCUAACUACGUG
rnacentral:rRNA from 1 species